UUGACCUCAAAUCAGGUAGGACCACCCGCUGAACUU
rnacentral:rRNA from 1 species